rnacentral:rRNA from 1 species
GACGAACGCUGGCGGCGUGCUUAACACAUGCAAGUCGGACGCUGAAGCCCUUCGGGGUGGAUGAGUGGCGAACGGGUGAGUAACACGUGGGUAAUCUGCCCUGCACUCUGGGAUAAGCCUUGGAAACGGGGUCUAAUACCGGAUAGGACACAUCGCCGCAUGGUGCGUGUGUGGAAAGUUCCGGCGGUGCAGGGUGAGCCCGCGGCCUAUCAGCUUGUUGGUGGGGUGAUGGCCUACCAAGGCGACGACGGGUAGCCGGCCUGAGAGGGUGACCGGCCACACUGGGACUAGGACACGGCCCAGACUCCUACGGGAGGCAGCGGUGGGGAAUCUUGCGCAAUGGGCGAAAGCCUGACGCAGCAACGCCGCGUGGGGGAUGACGGCCUUCGGGUUGUAAACCUCUUUCGACCGGGACGAAGGAUUCGUUUGACGGUACCGGUAGAAGAAGCACCGGCUAACUACGUGCCAGCCGCCGCCGUAA